rnacentral:rRNA from 1 species
UGGGGAAUAUUGGACAAUGGGCGAAAGCCUGAUCCAGCCAUGCCGCGUGAGUGAUGAAGGCCCUAGGGUUGUAAAGCUCUUUCACCGGUGAAGAUAAUGACGGUAACCGGAGAAGAAGCCCCGGCUAACUUCGUGCCAGCAGCCGCGGUAAUACGAAGGGGGCUAGCGUUGUUCGGAAUUACUGGGCGUAAAGCGCACGUAGGCGGACUAUUAAGUCAGGGGUGAAAUCCCGGGGCUCAACCCCGGAACUGCCUUUGAUACUGGUAGUCUCGAGUCCGGAAGAGGUGAGUGGAAUUCCGAGUGUAGAGGUGAAAUUCGUAGAUAUUCGGAGGAACACCAGUGGCGAAGGCGGCUCACUGGUCCGGUACUGACGCUGAGGUGCGAAAGCGUGGGGGGCAAACA